GACGAACGCUGGCGGCGUGCUUAACACAUGCAAGUCGAACGGGAUUUUGUAAACGUAGGCCUCGUGGGAAUAUUACUAAUCAGAUUGGCGACCGGUUGAUUAACUCGUUAUCAGCCUGCCUUUAACUGGGGGAUAGCCUCGUGAAACCGGGUUUAAUACCGAAUAAAAUCGUUGAAAAACAUGUUUCAAUUUUCAAAGAUUUAUCGGUCAUAUAUGGGCUGGCGUCUGAUUAGCUUGUUGUUGAGAUAAACCCCCACCACGGCGACGAUCAGUAGACGGUCUGAGAGACUGAACCGACACAUCGGAACUGGGACGCGGUACAAACUCCUACGGGAGGCAGCAGUGGGGGAUAGUGCAACAUGGGGGAAAUCAUGAUGCAGCGAGGACGGGUGAACGAAGAAGGUAUUCAUAUAGUAAAGUUCUGGCAAAUAGGAAGAUAAUGACAGUACCAUAGAAGAAAGCUCCGGCUAAAUACGUG
rnacentral:rRNA from 1 species